CCUACGGGUGGCAGCAGUGGGGAAUAUUGGGCAAUGGGCGCAAGCCUGACCCAGCAACGCCGCGUGAAGGAAGAAGGCUUUCGGGUUGUAAACUUCUGUGAAGAGGGAAGAGCAGAAGACGGUACCUCGGGAAUAAGCCACGGCUAACUACGUGCCAGCAGCCGCGGUAAUACGUAGGUGGCAAGCGUUGUCCGGAUUGACUGGGUGUAAAGGGCGUGCAGCCGGGAAGACAAGUCAGAGGUGAAAUCCCGCGGCUCAACCGCGGAACUGCAUUUGAAACUGUUUUUCUUGAGUACCGGAGCGGUCAUCGGACUUCCUUGUGUAGCGGUGAACUGCGUAGCUAUAAGGAAGAACACCAGUUGCGAAGGCGGAUGACUGGACGGCAACUGACGGUGAGGCGCGAACGCGUGGGGAGCAAACAGGAUUAGAUACCCGUGUAGUC
rnacentral:rRNA from 1 species